rnacentral:rRNA from 1 species
GAUGAACGCUGGCGGCGUGCCUAAUACAUGCAAGUCGAACGAAACUUCUUUAUCACCGAGUGCUUGCACUCACCGAUAAAGAGUUGAGUGGCGAACGGGUGAGUAACACGUGGGCAACCUGCCCAAAAGAGGGGGAUAGCACUUGGAAACAGGUGCUAAUACCGCAUAACCAUAGUUACCGCAUGGUAACUAUGUAAAAGGUGGCUAUACUACCGCUUUUGGAUGGGCCCGCGGCGCAUUAGCUAGUUGGUAGGGUAAAGGCUUACCAAGGCAAUGAUGCGUAGCCGAAUUGAGAGGGUGAUCGGCCACAUUGGGACUGAGACACGGCCCAAACUCCUACGGGAGGCAGCAGUAGGGAAUCUUCCACAAUGGGCGAAAGCCUGAUGGAGCAACGCCGCGUGGGUGAAGAAGGUCUUCGGAUCGUAAAACCCUGUUGUUAGAGAAGAAAGUGCGUGAGAGUAACUGUUCACGUUUCGACGGUAUCUAACCGGAAAGCCACGGCUAACUACGUG